AAUGGCUUGACAUAUUAUAUUAUCUAUUUAUAUAAAAUAGAGUUUACUUUCUCCUUAGAAAGCCACCUACGAUUCCAGCUAGAUAAGUCAACAUACCUCAGGUUGACACGUGUCACAGAUUCUGAAACUCAUCGUUUCAUUUAAACUGCAGUUUGUUGGGCCUAUCUAACGUUAUUGGGCUGAUAUGUUCUUCUGUGAGCCCGAGAGAGAGAGACGAGUAUCGUGUUUACCAAAGUCGGCACCAAAAUUUAGGGUUCAUGUCCUUCUUUGAUCUCUGACACCAGAAAUGUUCUUCUUCGUUCUCUGAUACCUACAAUGGAGUUUCUAGGUGUUCAAUCGACGUGAAAGAAUUGUUGUGUGAAUCUUCAAUCUUGACGUUUUGUCUUCUGUUCAAAUCAAAACCGAAACGUUACGAUUAUCGAUUCAUCGCCUUAAUCAUACUUCUUAACUCUAUCAACCCACAUCAAGCACGAUGUGACAUUGAAUGAAACUUAUCCCUUUGCAAGGCGGUCUCUCUAUACCUAUAAAAAGGCAAAACAAAAUUAAGAAGGGAUAUUCAUGUGUUGUAGACAAUUGAAAAAUAAAGAUGAGGAUAGAGUAAUUGAGAACAAUGAAGGUCUGCCUCACCCUUUUUUGGGAAGCUGCAAUGAUCGUGCAAGGCAACUCCAGGCUUCUUCUUCAGGAAAAAGGGAAUGAGGGACUGUGUUUGAGUUGAUUUUGUUUUGUAAAAAUUAGAUUGUUUCUUUCAAAGUACUGUACAUGGAGGGAUGAAACUUGCGGUCGGGGAGUCUGACAUGACAGUGUAGCAUAUCAUGAGGCAUUUCCUCAAAUUUGAUGGCAUCGAGGCAAAAGGGGAAUCAAGAGUACAACAAAAAGCAGAGGAAUUUGGGUACUUAUGACUAAUGAGGCUUUGGGAUGAGUUGCAGUGAUCUGAUUGUUGACUGUGCAAAUAACAGUUUUCCAUGUCUCAAGGCAGGCACCAACCAAAGUAAAUGCAUGCGAAAGGAAGAACAAAUAAUGGAUCUAUUAAGGUAUUAUUGAUUUUUUUUCCAAGAUGUGUUGUACAUUUAUUCGCAUGUAAUAAAUCCAUUUUCAAAUAUUGUCUUUUAAGACCUCCCAUUGCAUACUCUGAAGAUCAUUUUUGUUCUUCUUUGUGGAGCAUUCGCCAUAAACGGAAAAUCAAAUUCAACAUCGGAAGAUUAUAAUGGUUUGGAGUGUAAGAUAACUUGCAAUAAUUCAGAGGUCUCUUAUGUAUUCAACCGGUUUUAUGAGUUACUUCAGGCGAUCACAAAGCUGGGUUGAGAAGAUAGCAGCCAAUAUCUAGCGAGAAAGUUGGAGGCUCGCACUAGCCAAAUAUUUGAAAGGAUUACAAGGAUGCUGAUUAUGUGGAGGUGGGGGUGGAUGUAAGUCUCACGUGACCGUGUGGAUACAAACCAGGAUGAAGACAAAGAAAGAGUGGAAAAAAGCAAAGAAAGUUAGAAAUGGAAAUAAAACUAUGGAGGAGUUGAAAAUGAGGAUAAAGUAAGUACCUGAGUACUGACAACAACAUCAACGAAGACAAAGAUACAUUGCCCUUUGUUUGCUUCAUAUGCAGAGAGCCUUUCACUACAAGAAAACGUAUCUUUACCGAGGAAGUUUAACGAGGAAAAAUAUUCCUCGUAAAAAAACGUUGAUUUUGCGAGGAAAUUACGUUGAGAAAGAAAAGCAUCGUUAUUUC